GUCGAACGGAUGAACGCCACAUGCUUGCUGGGUGGAUCAGUGGCGAACGGGUGAGUAACACGUGAGCAACCUGCCCCUGACUCUGGGAUAAGCGCUGGAAACGGCGUCUAAUACUGGAUACGAGACGUGACCGCAUGGUCAACGUUUGGAAAGAUUUUUCGGUUGGGGAUGGGCUCGCGGCCUAUCAGCUUGUUGGUGAGGUAAUGGCUCACCAAGGCGUCGACGGGUAGCCGGCCUGAGAGGGUGACCGGCCACACUGGGACUGAGACACGGCCCAGACUCCUACGGGAGGCAGCAGUGGGGAAUAUUGCACAAUGGGCGGAAGCCUGAUGCAGCAACGCCGCGUGAGGGAUGACGGCCUUCGGGUUGUAAACCUCUUUUAGCAGGGAAGAAGCGAAAGUGACGGUACCUGCAGAAAAAGCGCCGGCUAACUACGUGCCAGCAGCCGCGGUAAUACGUAGGGCGCAAGCGUUAUCCGGAAUUAUUGGGCGUAAAGAGCUCGUAGGCGGUUUGUCGCGUCUGCUGUGAAAUCUGGGGGCUCAACCCCCAGCCUGCAGUGGGUACGGGCAGACUAGAGUGCGGUAGGGGAGAUUGGAAUUCCUGGUGUAGCGGUGGAAUGCGCAGAUAUCAGGAGGAACACCGAUGGCGAAGGCAGAUCUCUGGGCCGUAACUGACGCUGAGGAGCGAAAGGGUGGGGAGCAAACAGGCUUAGAUACCCUGGUAGUCCACCCCGUAAACGUUGGGAACUAGUUGUGGGGUCCAUUCCACGGAUUCCGUGACGCAGCUAACGCAUUAAGUUCCCCGCCUGGGGAGUACGGCCGCAAGGCUAAAACUCAAAGGAAUUGACGGGGACCCGCACAAGCGGCGGAGCAUGCGGAUUAAUUCGAUGCAACGCGAAGAACCUUACCAAGGCUUGACAUAUACGAGAACGGGCCAGAAAUGGUCAACUCUUUGGACACUCGUAAACAGGUGGUGCAUGGUUGUCGUCAGCUCGUGUCGUGAGAUGUUGGGUUAAGUCCCGCAACGAGCGCAACCCUCGUUCUAUGUUGCCAGCACGUAAUGGUGGGAACUCAUGGGAUACUGCCGGGGUCAACUCGGAGGAAGGUGGGGAUGACGUCAAAUCAUCAUGCCCCUUAUGUCUUGGGCUUCACGCAUGCUACAAUGGCCGGUACAAAGGGCUGCAAUACCGCGAGGUGGAGCGAAUCCCAAAAAGCCGGUCCCAGUUCGGAUUGAGGUCUGCAACUCGACCUCAUGAAGUCGGAGUCGCUAGUAAUCGCAGAUCAGCAACGCUGCGGUGAAUACGUUCCCGGGUCUUGUACACACCGCCCGUCAAGUCAUGAAAGUCGGUAACACCUGAAGCCGGUGGCCUAACCUCUUGUGGAGGAGCCGUCGAAGGUGAUC
rnacentral:rRNA from 1 species